CUCCCUCACAUCCCCUCUCUCACAUCCUCCCCUUUAAUAAGAUGAACCCUGAUCCUCUCCCCCCUCGACUCCCUUCAGGGUCUCCCCCGUCUCUCCACCAGCUCAUUCCACUCCUCACUCUCUCUCGAUUUUUCCCCCAUUUACCAUUUCUCCGUGGCGUUGUCUUGUUUCUACGGUAACCACUGCUCCUUUUCUCAGCCCCCCCCACCCCAUGUCUCUUUUGUCGCCGGUUAUCCUUCGCCGCGGCGCCGCGUGCCAGCGCUGUUUCUGGGGGUUUAAGGGGAAGGGCGGCGGCGGCCGGUUAACCCCGUAAUGAUGCCUCCGUUGCCCCGGGUUGUCGCCGCCGCCCUCCAUCUGUCGGCUCAAAGAGAGUGGCCAAUCAGGCGGCCGCGUGAUGCGCUGUGACCCGGCCGGACAGACCGCCGGACAGAGGGGAGCGACCGGAGAACCGGGGACUGGAAUGAAGGAACGGCCGACGCUCAUUAGACCGUCAGCGAUCAUCAGCGUGGUGCAGGAGCUGAGGAGGACGGCAGAGCUGUGUGCUUCUCCCCGUCGGGUCAACAUCUGACCACCACAGGCUUUGAUGUGCUCCUUGGAAACCCCCGACACCUUAGGCAACACCAGGGAGUCAUAAGGGUCCUAAGGGUCUGUCUUAAGAUUCAGUCUUCAGGUUCAUUCUCAAGGUUGUGUCUUAAGGUUAAGUCUUAAGGUUCUGUCCUAUGGUUCUGUCUUAAGGGUCUGUCUUAAGGUUCUGUCUUAAGGUUUUGUCUUAAGGUUAAGUCUUAAGGUUCUGUCCUAAGGUUAAGUCUUAAGGUUCUAUCUUAAGGUUCAGUCUUAAAGUUAUGUCUUAAGGUUCAGCCUUAAGGUUCAUUCUUAAGGUUCUGUCUUAAGUUGUUGUCCUAAGGUUCUGUCUUCAGGUUCUUUCUUAAGGUUAAGUCUUAAGGUUAAAUUUUAAGGUUCAGUCUUAAGGUUCUGUCUUAAGGUUCAGUCUUAAGGUUCUGUCUUCAGGUUCUGACUUAAGGUUCAGUCUUAAGGUUCAGUCUUACGGUUCUGUCUUAAGGUUCAGUCUUAAGGUUCUGUCUUAAGGUUCUGUCUUAAGGUUCUGUCUUAAGGUUCUGUCUUAAGGUUCAGUCUUAAGGUUCUGUCUUAAGGUUCUGUCUUAAGGUUCUGUCUUAAGGUUCUGUCUAAAGGUUAUUUUUCUGGUCCGGUCCACUUUCCCUGUUGGCGAUCAGUCAGUUGUUCAUUUAGCCGCACAAAGACGGAGGCUGGAGGCUGGAGGGGAGGAGGGAGGAGGAGAGGGGUGAGGGAGGCAGGAGAGAGAGGGUGAGGGAGGAGGGGGUGAGGAGAGAGGGAAUGAGGAGAGAGGGGAUGGUGGCGAGGAAAGACCGGGAAGGGAGUGGACAUGGGGAGUCCUCAAACGCAGAUAUUCAGACAUGAAGGAGAGAAGUGAAAUAGACUACGGAUACAAAAAUAAGGAGGCAAAAGAUUGUCGCCAUGGAAACAGUGACCUUGUGCAUGAUGAGCUUAGGUUGGCUGUUCAACAGCACUUUGUUACAUCUCUGUAAUGAUUGCACAUGAGGUUGGAUAUUAGUAAAGAGGAGGGAGCAGAAUGUACAAUGGAAAAAAAAAACGAUUUGAUGUGCUUUUCCAAAAAAGGAUCUGUUAGGAUUUGUGAUUGCAAGUAAAGCAGCUUGACUGUGCGCCUUUAAAACGGAUACGCUUCACUCUGUCAUAAAAUGAAGACUUUAUCUCACCUUCAAGGUGAACGACUAUGAAGCAAUCUACAGUCUGGCUGCUAAUGCAGGCCUCUGCACACAGGCGUGAGAAUAUUGUGCGAGACACAGGAAACAAUGGGAAAGUUCUGCGUGAGCCUGUAUUCACAGGCUGGAGCUCUUCCAGAGCGAAGCUGGCACAGGCCGCUGGCGCCCACAACAUCGACCAUCCCAAGUGAACCAUUCUUUCCCUUCUUUAACUGAUUUAUUUUCAAUGCGCAUUUCUUUUCAAUGCUUUGGUGGCUUACUGAUUCAAUGUUGAUGCGAAGCUACAAUUUAAAAAAAGAGAUACAUGGAAGCUUCGGAGGUAUUUUUAGAAACCUGCGGAUGAACAGCAGUUGUGAAUUAUUUUGAAUGAAUGGAAUAUCUUUGUGUUGGUAUCUACAUGAUGUGCAAGCAGAAUGUAUUACCCUGAGGAAUUAUUUUGAACCAGAAGAAGAAAAAAACGGACUUAAAUAUUAUGGAAGAUGUUCGGACUUUAAAUACCAGCAGUGUGAGCUUUUUCUGUGCAGACCCUAAACCCAGUUCAUCAUAUUAUCCCUUUUUCUGCAAACUGUCUGUGUACGGGGAGGGUAAAAUAGGGUAUAUAUGCUCUCUUGUUUUUGGAGAGAAAAAUCAACAAAAGGUUACUUUCUACAAAAAAUAUUUUCAAAAUGAACAUGCAAAAACACUUUUCUGAUCAAAAUUUUACAUGUGCUUUAAUUGUAAAAAAAAAAGAUAGAAAAAAACAGUGAAGAGACUGUGCUUGUUCAGAGUCAAACUAAUUACUCUGGGGAGGAGGUUCAGUAAUUGAUAUCUGAGAUUGUAGUUCAUACUGUACAUGAAUACAAAUAAAAAAAUACAUUUUUUCCAAUAUAUUCUAUUUCAUAUAUUUUCCACGGUGCCGUCAUCAUCAUAAUCAUUUUGCGUUGCCCUUUGCACAUGAAUACAAGUCCAUUUAACAACAGUGACAGGCAGCAGAAAGGAGCCUUCGAUCUGAU
ensembl:lncRNA